GCAUGCGCAUUAAUUGUCCGCAAUGUUGGAAAACAAACAAGUGUACCGGAGGCCGUAUCCCCAUGCACCAGUGACUCCAUUAUUUUUUUUAAACUUACACAAACCAACCAGCCUCCAGGUAUGGUUAACUUCUGUGCUGCAGUUGGCUGCUCCAACAGAGCAGGGCUUGACGUAAACAAGUCAUUCUUCGGGAUUCUAGCUGUUCUAACAAGGCAGAAAGAACAAACGGAAAAACUUUCUUCUUAGCGUUAAAGGGAUUGUCUGGUAGCAUUGUCCAGAGCAGAUGUAAACACUACUAAUCUGUUCCAGUUUCGUGUCUGCUCAGAUCAUGUUGUCACUGGGAAGCCAGCACAGCUGUAUGAUUCCACUAAUCCGGACUGGGUUCCAAUCAACAAACAAUCAUGUGUAAAUCAGUGGAAUAUUCCCUCUGUACAGCAAAUUGAAAUAAAAAGUGUGGAAUUAUA